rnacentral:tRNA from 1 species
GUUCGCAUAGUUGAAGAACAACGAUGGCUUUUCGAGCCGUAGAUCCGAGUUAAAGUCUUGGUGGGAACA